UUACGGCCUAACCACUGGUGACUAAGCAAAUAUCACCCACCACAAAAAAGCAGGUAUCACAUCCAUAUGAUGCAUUAGCUAUCUUCCCAACAUUAUUGCUCCAAGUAAUAUUAACAUCAGAUGGCGUAAAGGUUCAUUUCAGAAAGGAACAUUUAAAAAAAUAGAGUUGCACUGCUGCUUCAAUUGCCUGCACAGUAUCCCAUGAGAUCCACAAUCAACUACACGAGUGAACACAGCAUUCUUCCAUGCCAGCAUGACUCUGCUAAUUCAACAGAAAUCAAUACUGUGAAUAUCCCAGUCAUUGCUAUAGGAUUUGGUAGUUAACCAACCCCCGGGAGUGCGCACACCCUCCCCCUCCCCAAAUUUAGAAUACUACUACUGCCAAAAGUGACUUGGAACAAUCCUCUUAUCAUUGACUAUACACAGCAAUUAUAUCAUUCAGAAAUAACUCUUUAUGGUUUUAAUUUUACUAUUCAGAAGUCUCAAUUAAAUUAAAUGUUCAUGUGUUCCUGUCGCAUUCCUGAGUUUGCUACAAACAGGCAUGAGAUUCAUUAUGCAGAACUGAGAUCCUGUGCACAUUGUCCCACAAAGCCUCACAAUCCAGUCUAGCAUGUACACAGGCUUGCAGGCUAGUCAGACUACAUAUGGCUGAUGUCACAAUGCCAAAUGACGUAACAGAAUUAAUAAUUUUACCUGUAAACGUAUAAUAUACACCGUUUCCCUUCUGAUCUCUAAAUCAAAUAAACACAUAGAUUUUAUUAGCAAAAAUAUAUCUAGCGCUGUUAACUUUUUGUACUGGGUUUUUAACCCAAAGCAUUACAAAAAUCUAGUGAUUUACAUCCUCCCAGACACUAAGGGGAAUUCUGACAAAAUCAGAAACUGUAAGAGUAAAACCAAGAAGAGAAACACAGGAAAAAAAACAUUCUCUGUGGCUACACAAUUUAUGGUAAGUUUGGUGAGUGGAAGAGCACGCUCAUAAUCCAUCCGCCUACCGUCAGAACUUCAAGGUGGGACAUUGUUUUCACACUUUAGUGCCAGGAUGACCUAAUAGGUCUUGCCACCCUAUCGUAUCUUUAAUUGUCAAUCCAAGUGCACACAUAUAUUCCUAGAUGUCUUGUUAGACGUCUGUGACUAAUGGAAAGAGGAUCUAAGUCUCACCCACCUUCUUUAGCACAUGGAAGAGCAAUGAAGAGUUAACACAGAAAAGACACGCUGGAAAGAGACUCAGGAAAUAGAAGUUACUUCGGAGACACAUGCUGGCGAACAAAGAUACCCCACAAACUCCUUAAAAGGGUAGAAGCCAAACGAAGGGGAAACCUGCCAUUAUCUGCAAAAAAUAACUGUUCUGCCCUAGAUUAAAAAUGCCUCGUGGCCAAGAACCCUGAUUUCAGAUCCAGAUUUAGCUCAUUAUCUGUCCAGGGAACCACGAUUCACUGAGCAUCCUUCCUUUUAAAGGAUCAACUCUCAGUGCCUAUUUUUUUUUAAAUUUCCUUUGUACGGCACUUAAGGAAAAGCCCUACAAGACGGGCACACAGACCCCUUCCUUCCGUUUCUGUCUGGGAGCAGAGAAGGGGCACUCCCCCACCGCCAGGAAACUUUUCUUUAGCAAAUAACUUGGAUUGCAGUGAAGGACAGUUGCAAUAGCAGCAGAAUCUUGAAUCAUACAAAUAAUGAACAUCUCUUUCAUGGCACUCAGCCAUACCAUCUCAGGAUCUCAUCUCAGCAGCCAAGCAGGGUUAGACAAUAAGCAAAACUUAAAUAUGGGAAACCUUCGAGAAAAAAAUCCAACAAUUUGUUGAAUAAAAGACUUCAGAUGUACAGAAGAAGUGUAAGGAUUGAACAGUAUGCAGUAAACAUGACGUGGGAUCAUACACUGAAUGAGGAGCACUGAAUGAAGCAGUUAUCCUGUGGAAAAGUAGUAUGUGAUCAUGUAAUUAAAGACUCUUGUAGUGCUUAUGCAUAAGGGUAAUAAAUUAAGC